GACGAACGCUGGCGGCGUGCUUAACACAUGCAAGUCGAACGGAAAGGCCUUUUCGGAGGUACUCGAGUGGCGAACGGGUGAGUAACACGUGGGUGAUCUGCCCUGCACUCUGGGAUAAGCCUGGGAAACUGGGUCUAAUACCGGAUAGGACCGCACUUUAGUGUGUGUGGUGGAAAGUUUUUUCGGUGUAGGAUGAGCGCGCGGCCUAUCAGCUUGUUGGUGGGGUAAUGGCCUACCAAGGCGGCGACGGGUAGCCGGACUGAGAGGUUGGUCGGCCACAUUGGGACUGAGAGACGGCCCAGACUCCGACGGGAGGCAGCAGUGGGGAAGAUUGCACAAUGGGCGCAAGCCUGAUGCAGAGACGCCGCGGGGGGGAUGACGGCCUUCGGGUUGGAAACUCCUUUCGCCAGGGACGAAGCGUUUUGUGACGGUACCUGGAGAAGAAGCACCGGCUAACUACGUG
rnacentral:rRNA from 1 species